GAUGAACGCUCGCUACAGGCUUAACACAUGCAAGUCGCGGGGCAGCAUGGGGGUUGCUUGCCAUCCCCGAUGGCGACCGGCGCACGGGUGAGUAACGCGUAUCCAACCUGCCCUUCACCACGGGAUAACCCGGCGAAAGUCGGACUAAUACCGUAUGUUGUCCAUUGACGGCAUCCGAUUUGGACGAAAGGCUUGGCGGUGAGGGAUGGGGAUGCGUCCGAUUAGGCAGACGGCGGGGUAACGGCCCACCGUGGCUACGAUCGGUAGGGGUUCUGAGAGGAAGGUCCCCCACACUGGAACUGAGACACGGUCCAGACUCCUACGGGAGGCAGCAGUGAGGAAUAUUGGUCAAUGGGCGUAAGCCUGAACCAGCCAAGUAGCGUGCAGGAUGACGGCCCUAUGGGUGGUAAACUGCUUUUAUGCGGGGAUAAAGUGGCCCACGUGUGGGCUUUUGCAGGUACCGCAUGAAUAAGGACCGGCUAAUUCCGUG
rnacentral:rRNA from 1 species